rfam:Schistosoma mansoni strain Puerto Rico chromosome W, complete genome
AGCCUUUUGAAUUUGUGCAGAGAUUUCGUCAGACACCAGCUCAUUAGGGCUGAUCAGACUUCCACGGUUAAUGAAGUU